rnacentral:rRNA from 1 species
UACGAAGGGGGCUAGCGUUGCUCGGAAUCACUGGGCGUAAAGCGCACGUAGGCGGACUCUUAAGUCGGUGGUGAAAUCCUGGAGCUCAACUCCAGAACUGCCUUCGAUACUGGGAGUCCUGAGUUCGGGAGAGGUGAGUGGAACUGCGAGUGUAGAGGUGAAAUUCGUAGAUAUUCGCAAGAACACCAGUGGCGAAGGCGGCUCACUGGCCCGAUACUGACGCUGAGGUGCGAAAGCGUGGGGAGCAAACGGAGUA